UGCGGCCGUAGGGAAGCGAGUGCGCAGGCGCGCUCUUCCACCCUUUCUCCCGUAAAAGAAAGGGAAGGACGACUUCCUUAUGUAGUAGCCCCUCUUCAUCUUUAUUUACAGAACUUUCUUCAGGAUCCCUUUCAGGAUUGCUGGGAAGAUAGAAUAGACAUCGGUGAGGAGUUUUGCAUGCACCCGGCACCCAAUGAGUUCUCCAUAAAUGGCCUUGUUGCUGCUAUAGAAGGUGCUGGAGGUUGAAAGUACGGGGGCCUCUCACUGUUGUGGCCUCUCCCAUUGCGGAGCACAGUCUCCGGACGCGCAGGCUCAGCAGCCAUGGCUCACGGGCCCAGCUGCUCCGCAGCAUGUGGGAUCUUCCUGGACCGGGGAACGAACCCAUGUCCGCUGCAUCGGCAGGCGGACUCCGCCACCAGGGAAGCCCUACUUGAACCUGUUUUGUAAGAGAAGUCGAAUGGGAUGCUGAUGCAUGUGUAUGAGCGGAGAAGAUACACCAGGUGGCAGCAAGCAGGCUCUGGCCAUCAAGAACAGCAGGAAAAAAAAAAAAAAAAAAAAGAACAGCAGGCAGUGGGCGGUAUGGGUGCUGAGCAGUUGGCCUGGCCACCCCAGUGCACCCAAUUGGCUGGGCAAUCUGGGACACCGUGGGGCUGCAAGGGGCCAGGAUCUGAGCCCAGAUCGGCAGCAGUAGAAGAUGGUAGCAGUCCACCAAGGCCGUGGUGAGAGAAGGAACCGCAUAUGGAAGAGCCCGUUCUGUAGCAUCUACACAAAUAUAAGCUCUGCGGCCUAAGUCUGGGACAGGAGCUGCCAGCACUCACACAGUAAGAUGUCAGCAAAUUAUCACAAAACUAAAGCAUACACAUGGAUGUUGCAAUAAAGCAUAUCAGGGAGUCAUCAGAAUUCAUUAGAGCUAGAACCUCUGGUUUUAAAAACCGCUGCAGCACUGCAAAGCAAGUAUUCACAGGCUUAGAAAUACAAAUUAAAUUUAAAGAUCAUAUUCUUCAGAAAAGAAUUCUAUUUUCACUGAAGUUUCAUUAUUAAUGAAGAAGGCAAUUUAAAAUUAAUUUUUCCUUGUAAUCGAAGAUAGAGCAAGCAAAUGUAUAAACAGGUUAUUAAAAUUAUAUACAGGGACUUCCCUGGUGGCGCAGUGGUUAAGACUCCACGCUCCCAAUGCAGGGGGCCCGAGUUCAAACCCUGGUCAGGGAACUAGAUCCCCCAUGCACGCUGCAACUAAGAGUUCUAAUGCCACAACUAAGGAGUCCGUGAGCUGCAACUAAGGAGCCCGCUUGCCUCAACUGAGACCUGGCGCAACCAAAUUAAAAAAAAAAUUAUAUACAAAUCAUGAAGUCACUCAGUUUCUUAUACAACUUCCACAAGUUACAGAAAAUGUUAGGGGAAACAUUAAAAUGUCACUGUAUAACUACAUAUAAAAUUAAAUUCAGACAUAUGAAAUUGGUUUGUAUGAAGAGUUAAGUCUUUUUAGAAAAAUUGUUCCACAAGAAUCAUCAGUUCUAGAUGUACUAAUAUUUGAUAUAUUUUGAAGUAGUUUAUCAGAAAUUUCUCCUAAUGUGACAGCCUAUAAAAUAUUCUUAACAACUCCAGUAACAACUGCAUCAGCAGAAAGAUCCUCAAAAUUAAAAAUUAUAAAAAAUUAUUUGUGAUCUUGCAUUUGCCAAGAAUGACUGUCAUAGCUUUUAAUUAUGUCAAUGGAAAUGAAGUUGACAAAAGUAUGUUUUGAUGACUUAAUAAAUGAAUUUACAAAAAAGUAAGCCAGAAUAGUUUAAUGAUCAGAUAUCAUAUUAACAAGGUAUUAUUAUUUAUUGUAUUAUAUAAAAUUAUGACAAUAAAAAAUUUAUUUUUCAAUUUUA